rnacentral:tRNA from 1 species
GAAAUAAGUAAAAAGAAGCUUCUAACUUCCUAAUUAGCAGAAAUCUGUUAUUAUUUCU